CCUACGGGAGGCAGCAGUAGGGAAUCUUUCACAAUGGGCGAAAGCCUGAUGGAGCAACGCCGCGUGCAGGAUGAAGGCCUUCGGGUUGUAAACUGCUUUUAUAAGCGAGAAAUAUGAUGGUAACUUAUGAAUAAGGAUCGGCUAACAACGUGCCAGCAGCCGCGGUCAUACGUAGGAUGCGAGCAUUAUCCGGAGUGACUGGGUGUAAAGAGUUGCGUAUGUGGCAUAAUAAGUAGCUGGUGCAAUCUGGUGGCUCAACCAUUCAGACUAUUAGCUAAACUGUUAAGCUCGAGACCGUUAGGGGUAACUGGAAUUUCUAGUGUAGGAGUGAAAUCCGUAGAUAUUAGAAGGAACACCAAUAGCGUAGGCAGGUUGCUGGGACGGUUCUGACACUAAGGCACGAAAGCGUAGGGAGCAAACGGGAUUAGAUACCCCUGUAGUC
rnacentral:rRNA from 1 species